CAGUCAAUGCGAUUUCCAGACUAUUUCCAAACGCCAGCGUGGAUGUCAAAUAAAAAAGCUAAAUGACGUUUCUGUAUUCUGUAAAAAAUAUUUCUUUGAACUAAACUUAUUCGUAAUUAAAAUAAGUUGUGCAAUAAGAAUAUAUAAUGAAUCUCUUUCAAGUGAACUCGAAGCCGUAUUUAAUAAGAAUGCCUCUUAUUUUUACAUUUUUAUUUACAAUCGUCGCAACAGCAGAUUUUACAUACACAGGACAUAUUAAUGAAGAAGGUCAUAGUGCUACAAAGCCUAAAUUUGUAGCCUACGAUCACAACCGACAACGUCGUGAUGUCGACUCUGCCACCGUGCCUACCUCUCCCGCCACAACAAAUGCUUCCAGCGCAGUGCCUUCCCCUGUUACCCCGACUAGUGCAUCUGAUCAAACCAAUAACGCGACGGUUGCAAAUACAUCACUGCCACCAUUUACUGUCGUAACGAAGAUACCAUUGCUUGGAGUCAAUGGUUCAGGCAUUUUACACGUAGAUGUAAAUUCACCCAAAGUGAGCGAUCCGAUCGCUGCAGAUGAUAACUCGAACGAUGUGUUCAAAGAAACUCCUGAAACUAUAAAGGCUGAACACAACAUAACUAACCUGAGUUAUGAUAACCACAGUUUCUACAAUAGUACGUUCAUUGGACAUUUGGAUUAUUUUCAAGAAUAUUGGGCCAACAUUACUCGGCCGAAAGCAGAAGUACAUGAGGUUUUAAGCAACUCUCAUCGACGUGCGACGACUAUAAAGGCGUCGUUCCCGUUCCCGUUCUACGGGCAUCCAGUGAGCAACAUGACUGUAGCCACAGGCGGGUUCAUAUACAUGGGCGACCAAGUGCACAACUGGCUCGCAGCCACUCAGUACAUAGCCCCGCUCAUGGCCAACUUUGACACCAAGCUCACUAAUGACAGCUUCGUCAAAAUGUACGAUGACGGUGAAAAGUUCACUGUAUUCUGGGAAAAUGUCACCCUACGACAGGACGUUGAAAAAAAGUUCACGUUCGCUGUGACGUUGUAUAAGAAUGGGGACAUCAUAUUCGCAUACAAGGACAUUCCUCUAGCGGUGAAAGAUAUCAUCGAUAGCGAACAUCCAGUCAAAGUUGGUAUCAGCGAUGCAUAUCUAACCGAUAAAUUUCACUACCAUGUUAGACGCAAGACAAUUUACGAGUACCACCGUGUAUCGUUCAAGAAUUAUGAGAUCACAAACAAUACCAUAUUGAAACUGGUCGCGCUUCCAACAUGCCUGCAGUACGAUUCAUGCCAAAGCUGUGCUAAUCACGAAACAGGCUUUAAAUGUCUAUGGUGCGAUCAAAUACAAGUGUGUUCAAGUGGAACGGAUCGCAAUAAGCAAGACUGGAUUCUUAGACAUUGCGACAAGUCGGCUAUAUCAAACGAGACUAUGUGUCCGGCGAGCACGCACGUGGAUGCGCCGGACGGCUCCGGCAAGAUCGUGUACACCACCGACACCCGGCCGACCUCCACUCAUGACACGGCCAUCGUGACCACUGGUAACGUACUAUCAGAUCUAUGCUCGAUUGUUGCGUAGAUUGCAACAAGUCGGCUAUAUCAAACGAGACUAUGUGUCCGGCGAGCACGCACGUGGAUGCGCCGGACGGCUCCGGCAAGAUCGUGUACACCACCGACACCCGGCCGACCUCCACUCAUGACACGGCCAUCGUGACCACUGGUAACGUACUAUCAGAUCUAUGCUCGAUUGUUGCGUAGAUUGCAACAAGUCGGCUAUAUCAAACGAGACUAUGUGUCCGGCGAGCACGCACGUGGAUGCGCCGGACGGCUCCGGCAAGAUCGUGUACACCACCGACACCCGGCCGACCUCCACUCAUGACACGGCCAUCGUGACCACUGGUAACGUACUAUCAGAUCUAUGCUCGAUUGUUGCGUAGAUUGCAACAAGUCGGCUAUAUCAAACGAGACUAUGUGUCCGGCGAGCACGCACGUGGAUGCGCCGGACGGCUCCGGCAAGAUCGUGUACACCACCGACACCCGGCCGACCUCCACUCAUGACACGGCCAUCGUGACCACUGGUAACGUACUAUCAGAUCUAUGCUCGAUUGUUGCGUAGAUUGCAACAAGUCGGCUAUAUCAAACGAGACUAUGUGUCCGGCGAGCACGCACGUGGAUGCGCCGGACGGCUCCGGCAAGAUCGUGUACACCACCGACACCCGGCCGACCUCCACUCAUGACACGGCCAUCGUGACCACUGGUAACGUACUAUCAGAUCUAUGCUCGAUUGUUGCGUAGAUUGCAACAAGUCGGCUAUAUCAAACGAGACUAUGUGUCCGGCGAGCACGCACGUGGAUGCGCCGGACGGCUCCGGCAAGAUCGUGUACACCACCGACACCCGGCCGACCUCCACUCAUGACACGGCCAUCGUGACCACUGGUAACGUACUAUCAGAUCUAUGCUCGAUUGUUGCGUAGAUUGCAACAAGUCGGCUAUAUCAAACGAGACUAUGUGUCCGGCGAGCACGCACGUGGAUGCGCCGGACGGCUCCGGCAAGAUCGUGUACACCACCGACACCCGGCCGACCUCCACUCAUGACACGGCCAUCGUGACCACUGGAGUUGUGAACUCGGAGCCGGCAGCCAAGGCGGCGGCGCCGGUGGCGGCGCCAGCAGCGGUGCCGGCGGCAGCCAGCGCGGCGGUGGAGGCGCGCGCGUCGUCGCCGGUGGGCGGCGUGGUGGGCGCCUU